AAGUCUUCUACAUGAAGCAACAAAGACAGUACUAGCAGCAGUUGGAAAAUGUCAGGUUGACAGCAAAUAUGAAGCUGAAAUUCCCAUGUCUUCCUUCCUUGAUGCGCCAUUACUGGGGGCUCUAAAAUACUGCAGGAGAUACUGGAUGUGAUAAGCAGAAGUCUAAGCUACCUGCUCUUUUUUGCAAGUGCUGAUAACUCCUGUCUUCUGGCUGAAGUUCAGUGUGAGUAAAUAAUUCCUACCUAAAAUCUACCUAAAAUCUAUAGUUUCAGCUGAACAUGUUCUUCACAUCCUCAGUUACACUGUGCAGUCUGAGUUACCAAAUGGCAAGUGCCCACUCUUAUGCUGUUUCAGAUGACCAACUGUCUUGGAGGAAGGGGGUUGGAGGGGUGAGGAGAGAGGGAAUGUUUGUUCCUGGAAAUUUAGUUUGUAGGGCUGUUCUGCACAGCUUUUAUUAGAGCCCAAGACACAUUUUCACUGCAGUGA